UGCUGUGGCUGUGGUGUACACUGGCGGCUACAGCUCCGAUUAGAUCCCUAGCCUGGGAACCUCCAUAUGCCAAGGGAACGGCCCUAGAAAAGGCAAAAAGACCAAAAAAAAAAAGCCCAGCUUUAUGUAGACCCAGAGUAAUUUGUUGCAGUUUUUAAGAACAUUGUAAAUAUGGCUCUUUUGAAAAAUAGACUAUCAUGAGGCUUGGUUGGUUCUGGAAUCAUGCAAGAUUGAGUUUGGUUUGGGGACAUUUUACUUCUUUGGUCAUAGAAAUGUUGUCUCCCUAUUUCCUACAAAUAGUGAACUCUGGGUGUCUUCUGGGACAGAGUAGAAAUAGUACCUAUCUCUUAUAAUAGGAAUUGGGGUCUGGAGAUAAUUCAACAUUCAUUGUUAUAAUAUUUUUGUUUUGGUAGCAAAUUUGCUUAAAAUACAUGUAGUUGGUAGCCUGUGGUUUGAUGUCCUUUGAAAUAUACGGUUACUCAUUUGAUCUGGAAUUGAGUGAGAUUUGUAUUAACACUGUCAGCUUGUUGUCAGAGGGCUUUUGGUCUUUUUCUUUCUUCUAUAGUAGUAUGCUCUUGGUAGGUGAAAUUUUUAUGAACAUUUUUAGAUGAAUAGAAAUCGAGAAAACUAUUUAUUAACUAUCUUUAGCCUUUAAUGUAGAAUCUACUUUUUCCCCAUAAAGCUCAUUGUCCUUUUAUUUUAAAAGGUUUAUAAAGAGAGAAGUUAAGAGUGGUCAUAAGUUUUGAAAGCGGAAAGCUGGAACCUGUUUCCUCUUGGUCAUAAGAGUCUCAAAAGUGGGCCUCUAUCAGUGGGUGAGAGUUCAAGUUUAUCUGAAUUUAGAAUAUUAAAUUAUAUUUUAGCCAUAGUAACAUGUUUUUCUUUUAACUUCCUUAAAUCAUAAUUGACUUUAUGUCACCGUGUUAUUUUGUGAGGUGAUCUCUUGUGGCUGCAAAGUUAUUUAUAGUUAACCUUGGAGGUAGCUCAUUCUUAUAAGGGCGCCUUCCACAGCUUAGAGUUUAUUUGCAAAAUAAACCACAUUUUCUCUUGUCUUCUUAAAAUGAUGAAACAGAGUUCCCUUUGUGGCUCAGUGGGUUAGGAACCCAACAUAGAGUCCAUGCAGCUGCAGAUUCAAUUCCUUGCCUCUCUCAGUGGGUUAAUGAUCUGGCGUUGCCAUAAGCUGCCAUGUAGGUUGCAGAUGCUGCUCAGUUCCGGUGUUGUUGUGGCUGUGACAUAGGCCUCAGCUGCAGCUCCUUCGCCUGGGAACUUCCAGGUGCCACAGGUGU
rnacentral:lncRNA from 1 species